AUACGUAGGGAGCGAGCGUUGUCCGGAAUUACUGGGUGUAAAGGGUGCGUAGGCGGGACUGCAAGUCAGAUGUGAAAUGCCGGGGCUCAACCCCGGAGCUGCAUUUGAAACUGUGGUUCUUGAGUGAGGUAGAGGUAAGCGGAAUUCCUAGUGUAGCGGUGAAAUGCGUAGAUAUUAGGAGGAACAUCGGUGGCGAAGGCGGCUUACUGGGACUUUACUGACGCUGAGGCACGAAAGCGUGGGGAGCAAACAGGAUUAGAUACCCUGGUAGUCCACGCUGUAAACGAUGAUGACUAGGUGUGGGGGACUGAACCCUUCCGUGCCGCAGGUAACACAAUAAGUCAUCCACCUGGGGAGUUCGGCCGCAAGGUUGAAACUCAAAUGAAUUGACGGGG
rnacentral:rRNA from 1 species